rnacentral:lncRNA from 10 species
CCUACAUGUCAGCAGUUGAUGUAUACCUUUUUUUUUUUAUUUUAGAGACAGUCUUUGUUGCUCAGGCUGGAAUGCAGUGGUGCAAUCAUAGCUCACAGUCUCUCUCUGUUGCUGAGGCUGGAAUGCAGUGGCGGAAUGCAGUGGUGCGAUCAUAGCUCACUGCAGCCUUGAACUCCUGGACUUUCAAGCAGUCCUCCCACAUCAGCCUCCUGAGCUAGGACCAUGGGUGUGCAUCACCAUGCCUGGCAACCUGGCAAUUGUAGAUAAGACAUGGGAUGUUCAUGAGUAUUUGAAUAGUCUUUUCGAAGAAUUAAAAUCUUGGAGAGAUGUAUACUGGCGAUUGUGGGGAACAAUCAAUUGGCUGACUUGUUCAAGAUGUUAUCAGACUUGUUGAAUUUUUAGAAAAGCAACAGGUUUUGGCCAGGCACGGUGGCUCACGCCUGUAAUCCCAGCACUUUGGGAGGUUGAG